CUUUCUAUUAUCUUUAAAUUUUUUUAUUUUUUUUAUUUCACGUCGAGAUUUAGGUAAUUUUUUUAUUAUUAUUAAAUAUUCUCCAUGAAUCUUUUUGGCCUAUGAGGCAUUGUUAAGUUGGCCUAUAAUUAUGUGUAAUCUUGGGCCAUGCUUUUAUUAAAAUUAUAAGCCCAUGCAACUUAGCCCAUUUUGAUAACAUGAGUUAUGUUAUUCAGCGUGGACAUCUUCUUCUUCCUAUUUAUGCUUAUGUUUCAUCCUUAUUGCAAACCUAAAUUUCCUUCUUUUAUUUUCUGCAAUAACCCUAGCCGUCCCUCAUACUCCAAAUCUCUCUGAAUUCUCACGUCAAAUUCAUCAUCUUCUUAUCUGCAAAUUCGCACCAAAUCGAGAUCUGUUUGUUUGAUGCCGUAGCUAACUCAGUCCUUUUCGAUUCUACGUUUGAAAUUUGUAUUUUGACUCGUCAACUACUGGUGCUUCGGAGUCAAAUCAGGUUUUGUCGGUUGUCAGGUUUUUCACGUGGAUUAGCAAGCAGUUUAUGAUUUGAAAGCUGGUCCACUCCGAUUCUUUUGAUUCUUCGGAGGUUUUUAUGUUAUUUAAACUAGUUACUGUUUUCGAACUCUUAGACCGCAGUAGAACUAGUUUAUAUAUUACAUUCAAUAUUACCCUUUGGGAUAGUCGAAUUUGAUCGACUAUUUAUUAUUGGCAUGUUUACUCUGGAAUAUUUUAUUAUUAUAUUUAAAGCAUGCUGUGGAAUAUUCAGAUA